AUGGCUGAGAGCAGCAACAGCCGCAGCAUCCCCAUGAUGGUGAGCAUCAUGGCGCCGUCCACAAGCACAAGGGCGGAGCAGCGUGUGCCCGUCGACCUUGUCCUCCUUCUCCACGCCCACGUACGCUACAAGGCACCGGACAAGUGGCAGGAUCUGCUCAUGGAGGCCGUGAGGGUGGUCAUGGACAAGCUCGACGACAAGGACCGGCUCGCCGUCGUGCCGGGCGGUGGCGGGAGCAGCAUAUCCAAAGAGUCGCUCAAGUACACGGAGACCUUGCUGCCCAUGUCCUCGGACAACAAGGCCUCCUGCUCCGACGCCGUCAGAACGGCGAUCCAAAAAUGCGACAACUCGCUGGUGAGAGCUCUGGAAUCGGCCAACUCGAUCUUGCAUGGCCAGGGUGGUUACAGCAGUAACGAGAAAGAGAGGCGUGCGGGCUACAUCAUAGUCAUCUCUAACAGCCAGGAGGACAUGGCGUCCUUGGUCACCUGGAGGUUCCGGUCUGUGCUGGCCUUCGGAUUCCGGGACGCGCGCAAUGCUCGGACCAUGGACGCCAUCACCAGAAGCCGGGACUGCACUUACGCCAUCUUGGACGACGACCGGGGCCGGGUCACCGAGGCCUUCGCCGGCACCGUCGACAGGAUCAUCUCCGGCGAUGCAAACAUGGCGGUUGAGGUGGAACUGCAGUACGUCGGCCACCAGGAGGUGGUUAGGACCAAGGUCGUGGCUCCUCACGUCAGCUACUUUGUCUCAUACGACAAGAGGAAGAUCUGGGCCAGCGCGCACCUCCCGGGCUCUGGCGCGGCCACCAGCUUCAUCGUCGACCUGAGCCUGACCCCCGUCCCACCUGCUGAAGUCGACCUGUCGGGGCUGGUCACCGUUCGUGCCAAGUACGGCCAUGCACCGGAUGACACGCUCGAGAGGCAGCAGGCGCUCACCGUGAACCUCAAGGGCGGAUGCGGAUCAAAAGAGGUGGCGGCGGAGAUGAUACGGAUCAAGGCCAUUGAGAUGGUCGACGAAAUCACCAAAGACGACGAGACUGACCCGGAGAAGCUCCACGCGCUCGCCGACAAGCUUUCCGAACGGUGGACCGACCUCAGCAGGUCCCUCGGCGACAUCAUGUCCAUGCUCGACGCGGAGAUGAGAGAGAUGGAGAUAAGGCUGUACAACAACUACUUGUGGCUGGAGUACAUGCUCUCGUGGAGGUCACACCAAUGGUGGCAGCUGCCUCUGCCGCGAAUGUUCAUGGAGGAUCCUUUCGUGCGGCUGACAGUCGUCUCUGCCAAGGUGGACGACGCUUCUACUUGUACCACGCACCGGCGACCGGUUCUGCUGCGCAUCGUGGCGCCAGAGGCGGGGUUGGCCAAGGCGAAGCGCCAUCCCGUUCACCUGGUCGCCGUGCUGGACGUCAGGGAUGAAGCUGGUGAUGGAACCAAUGACAAGGCCAAGGAGAGAAGGAUGGAGCAGCUGACGGAGGCCAUGAUGCUGGUCAUGGACAAGCUUAGCCACAAGGACCGCCUCGCCAUCAUACCGAUGUCUGAAGAAGGGCGGAGUGAGACCUCCGCCAAGCUGCAGUGCCUCGUCGACCAAGUCCUUCACCACACGGCAUCAGCUAACAACAAGGCCCCGGAACAGCAGGUCCGUAUCAUUUGGCUCAUGGCUCCCACAGUUUCAUAA
rnacentral:rRNA from 1 species